GCUGACGACCGGCGCACGGGUGCGUAACGCGUAUACAAUCUGCCCUUAACUGGAGGAUAGCCACUGGAAACAGUGAUUAAUACUCCAUAACACUGCACGAUCGCAUGAGAGAGCAGUUAAAGAAUUUCGGUUAAGGAUGAGUAUGCGUGACAUUAGCUAGUUGGUGAGGUAACGGCUCACCAAGGCAACGAUGUCUAGGGGUUCUGAGAGGAUGAUCCCCCACACUGGUACUGAGACACGGACCAGACUCCUACGGGAGGCAGCAGUAGGGAAUAUUGGGCAAUGGAGGCAACUCUGACCCAGCCAUGCCGCGUGCAGGAUGAAGGCGUUCUGCGUUGUAAACUGCUUUUAUAUGGGAAGAAAAAGGUCUUGCGAGACAAACUGACGGUACCAUAUGAAUAAGCACCGGCUAACUCCGUGCCAGCAGCCGCGGUAAUACGGAGGGUGCAAGCGUUAUCCGGAUUUAUUGGGUUUAAAGGGUGCGCAGGCGGCCUAUUAAGUCAGUGGUGAAAUCUUACAGCUUAACUGUGAAAGUGCCAUUGAUACUGGUAGGCUUGAGUGCGGUGAAGGUAGGCGGAAUUCCUCAUGUAGCGGUGAAA
rnacentral:rRNA from 1 species